GAACGCUGGCGGCGUGCUUAACACAUGCAAGUCGAACGGAAAGGCCCUGCUUGCAGGGUACUCGAGUGGCGAACGGGUGAGUAACACGUGGGUGAUCUGCCCUGCACUUCGGGAUAAGCUUGGGAAACUGGGUCUAAUACCGGAUAGGAACCAUCUUUAGUGUGGUGGUUGGAAAGUUUUUUCGGUGUAGGAUGAGCUCGCGGCCUAUCAGCUUGUUGGUGGGGUAAUGGCCUACCAAGGCGGCGACGGGUAGCCGGCCUGAGAGGGUGUACGGCCACAUUGGGACUGAGAUACGGCCCAGACUCCUACGGGAGGCAGCAGUGGGGAAUAUUGCACAAUGGGCGCAAGCCUGAUGCAGCGACGCCGCGUGGGGGAUGAAGGCCUUCGGGUUGUAAACUCCUUUCGCUAGGGACGAAGCUUUGUUGUGACGGUACCUAGAUAAGAAGCACCGGCUAACUACGUG
rnacentral:rRNA from 1 species